AAUAAUUCAAAGUUUGGAUUAUUUUGAGAAGAUGAGUGAAAGGUGGGAUUAUUUAUGUCAAAGGUGGGAUUAUUUAUGAAAGAUGAGUUAAGCUUAUAUAGGUAAAAGUUAUUUAUUUUUUAGUGAUAAAUUUUUUCAUUUCAGUAAAACUUAUUUCUUCAAAACCACUAAUAAUGUAUAAAAUUAACCAUUUCUAUCAACUUUUUUUUUACUAAUAUAAAAGUUAAUCAAAAUUAGGUUAAAGUUACAAAAAAAAUGGAUAAAAGUUAUGUUGGUGUACAAUAAAUUUAUUGUACACCUUGUGCGCGCAAGACCUUUUGUUAUACUUAUGGCCUAUGGGUAAUAAUUACUUGCACAGUGUUUGGAAUACAAAUAUGGUGAAUUGUAUGAAAUGUGAAAAAUCAAAACUAUGAAAAUGUAUUAAAAAAAAAUUACUUUAUAUUAGAUCUGAUAAAAAAAAAGGUAGGCUGGGUCACGACCUAAAUCAGCCAAUGCCAAGUUUUCGGCCGAUUUUAUGUUUCAAAACCCGCUAUUUCGGGCAAAAAAUUGAGUAUUUUAGGUCGGGACAGACCUGAAAAACGUGCCUACAUUUUUUGCCUAAAAGCCGCUAAUUUUGGGGAUAGGCCAACAUGUGGGACUCAAGUUGAUCAAGUCUACUACGAAGUAUAUAUUAGUUUUGUUUAAUAGUUUAAUGAGAGAAAUUGAAAAUAGUUUAUCGGAACUAGAAACCUACUAGGAUUCAACUUAUCUAAUUCUAUUAGAAUUAGAUUCAAAUUAAAUUUAUUAGUUUUAGUGUUUUGCAUAACAACUAAUUCUAGUAGUUUAAGAAAAAUAUUCUAAUCGGAUAAAUCCUAAACACUUAAGGAUUCGAAACACGCACGAACACUACGACACACACGAAGCCCGCAAGGGGCCCUGCCCGCGCGUGCGGUGGGUUGGCUCGGCCCAGCAGCUGGUACGCGGCCCACGAAGGGCGCGCCAGCCUGCUGGCCUUGCCGCUUGCUGGGCCUGGCCUUACUUCAUUGCUUGGCUGGGCCUUGCAUGCUUGGCGGGCUGCUUGCUCGCCUGCUGUGCUUGCGCGGGCUUCGCUAGGCGCGGGCCUAGCUUCGUGUUGGGCCUUGCGUCUAGCAAGCUCGUCCGAUGUUUAUUUCGUACGUUGCGCUUCCGAUUAAUUUUCCGAUUCCGGAAUUCAUUUCCGAUUCGAACAAUAUUUAAUAUUUCCGAUUCCGGAAUUAAUUUCCGUUUCGAACAAAUAUUUAAUAUUUCCGAUUCCGGAAUUAAUUUCCGUUUCGAACAAAUAUUUAAUAUUUCCGAUUCCGACAAUAUUUCCGUUUUCGGCAAUAUUUCCGAUUCCGGCAAUAUUUCCAUUACCGGUAAUAUUUUCCGAUACGUACCAUGUUUCCGUUUCCGGCAACAUCUGCAACUUCGAUAAUAUUUAUAUUUCCGAUACGAUCCAUAUUUCCGUUUCCGGCAAUAUCAUCGUUUUCGGAGUAUUCAUAAUUUGCCUUUUGACGAUUUCAGCUCCCACUGGAACCGAGAUCAGUCGAUUCCGAAUAUUCAUAAAUGGAGUAUUUAAUUCACUUAAAUACUUGAUCCGUUCACGUACUAUUUGUGUGACCCUACGGGUUCAGUCAAGAGUAAGUUGUGGAUUAAUAUUAUUAAUUCCACUUGAACUGAAGCGGCCUCUAGCUAGGCAUACAGUUCACUAGCUUGAUCUCACUGAAUUAUUAACUUGCAUAAUUAAUUAAUACUGAACCGCAUUUAUUAGACUUAGCAUUGAAUGCAUACUUGGACCAAGGGCAUUUAUUUCCUUCACACACCCCGCUUGUUAACUGGCAAUGUCCAGGUUAUCUCAAUAGCAUAUUGAUAAGGAACAAUGGGAGUAAUAUCACUUGAGUCUUACGUUUCAUCACAAGUCUUAAAGGAUUAAAAUAAAAUGUCAAUGUUUGGUUGCUUGUAUUUAUGUCUUGUUGUUGUGUCUUGAGUUCACCUUGUGCAUAAAAUAUUAAUUAACGUAAAGUGCAACCCGAAGGAGCUUCAAAACUCUUGGAACGUAUAUACUUUGAGUAUGAACAAUGGGAGGAGUCUUGCCGGAAAACUUGUAUUCCUUGAUUGAUACAAGACGUUGUUUCAUUCUUUAUUUUAAGCGCGGGAAUUCCGUCGGUAUGGUCCGACAGUCGGCAUGGUCCGAUAUUUAUUAUUUUGGUGUGUGGUUGGCUUCCAUUAGAUUUUUUACGUGGCUCUCUAAUAUUGGAUUCGUGUUUGAUUUUGGAUUGAAUUUUAUUUUAGAUUAGUGUUUGAUUUUAAUUGGAUGAAUUUUAUUUUAGAUUUUUUUUAAUUAUUAGAGUGUUUGAUUUUGGAUAGAGUUGUAUAUAUUAGUAAUUAAUUAAUUAAAAUAUCCAUGUGACACCUAAUUAAUUAUCUACGUAGCACUCGAUUUUUUUAAUUCAAAAAUAAAUUAGAAAUGUUUUUUUUCAUUGGCCGAAACAUUAGUAAUCCUAGGUGGCGCUCUAAUAUUUCAGCAAAUAUGCCUCCGGAAGCUAGGGUCUGACAUAAUAACAAAUCACUAAAAAGUAGAGUAAAAACAAUACUCCGUAGUACUCCGUAUAUAAUACUGACUCCUUAACUCUAGACCCCGAAAAAGAAAAAAAAGAAACUCUAGACCCUAAUAUAAAAGUAUAUAAUGCUCUAAACCAAAGUAGGCUACAGGCGAUUGUCAUUGUAAAUUCUGUUUUUGAACGGCGUUUCCAGUUUCCUCCCCACACACAGACAAGGCCGUGAGGGCUCUUGAGCAAGGUCCGGCAGAAGGUAGGAUUUCAAUUUGUGAAGGUUCUAUUUCGGCACGAUAGGUGUAGUGUUUCAAUUUUAAUCCAAUUUAAAUGGUUUUUUUUCUUUAUUAAUCGAGUGUUUUUUAUUGAUUAGGUUACCGGAAAAUUUCAAGGGUUUCAGUUUGCGAAAGAUAAUUUAAAUCAGGUGGUUAUCCGAAAAUUUUCAAGGAAUGAUUCAUUCAAGAAAUCCGGUUAGGAAGGACGCAAAUAUGUCAAAAGGUUGUCCGAUUGGCAAAUUUCUUGACGUUAAAUUUUUGUUAUCCGGUGGUAUGAAUAGCCGAAUAAGUGAAGAAAAAAGAAUAAAAACGGGAAUAAUAAUGGUUAUCUAGUUCGCAAUGAUAUCCGUUCAAGAAAAGAUCCAGUGAAGAUUGAGACAUUGGAAAAAAAAUACAUAUUGGUUUGUUGUUUGAAUGUCACCGAUGUCUGCAGCGAGUCUGAUUCAAUCUAUCUACAAAACAUGAUAACUACAUGUUCCAAGUUGUAUUACUCUCGGGCCGAUUUUGAGAUUGUAGUGGUUCCAAAGAUUACUAACUUGCCCAAUAAAGAGAUGGAGAUGGUGUUGUCCUUGUUCCGGACUCGUGUCGUUGUAACUUCAUAUGCGAGCGCAUUGACUUAUGUGAUGCUGAUUUCUUUAAAUGUGUCGUUCUGAAUGGCAAAGGAAACAUUUUGCUGAAUGGACGUCCAGACUUUUCUUUCAAGCAUCUUCAUGAGUUUUUCGCAGAGAGUUCCAUGGAUUUUAUAGGUUUCUUUGACAAGCUAGUAAAAACAACAUGGCCUGUGAUCAAGGGGCAGGAAAUGGAUUCCCAGACCCUCUUAUAUUUAAAUGGUAAUCCUGUAGCUAAAAAAUUGGGAGCUGUUUUACCCAAAUAUCCUGAUGAUGUUUCUGAAUCAAAAGCAGGUUUGCAAUCUAUCAUUGAGAUUGGGCAGUCGUUUAAUGUUAUAUCCUUGUUGUCUGGUGAUGGUGAGAUGAAUUACCUUGAUCGAAUUUGUGGCGAUCGAGUUGAAGUUGAGGAGAAGAUGUUUAGUAACAAGAACAUUAUGGUUUGUUGUUUUCAUGUGCCUAUCUUCCGUGUAGACGAUGAUUCUCUGUAUCUCCAGUCUCUGAUAAAUACAUGUUCUGAAUUGUAUUCUAAAGACAAUCUUGAGAUGGUAGUGGUAGCAAAGAUGAACACUUUGGCCAAUUAUGAGGGUAUUUUCGAUCACUUCUUGUCUGGGUUUCCUACUUGGUGUCUUGCGGUACCGUUUGAGGACUCAAAACGCCGUGACUUUAUAUGCAGGUACCUUAACCUUGGUCAUGGUAGUUUUAAAUGUCUCCUUUUGAAUUCCAAUGGAAGUGUUUUGCUCCAUGAAAAUGGUUGUCUUCCUAGUGUUGUAUUGAAUUAUGGAGCUGAGGCCUUUCCCUUUACUCAAGAUUGUCUACACAAACUUGGCUAACCGGACAUCCCAUAUUGGAAAACUUCCUCUACGUCCACGCUUGAGGGACUUUUGCAGUGCAAUUCCUCUUUUGUUCUUGGUAAAACUAAUCCAUCAAUAUCAUCGACAUGUAUCUCACAACUCAAAGGGAAGGUUGUUGGGUUGUACUUGUGUUGGGAAGGAGAUUUUAUUCCGAAGCUGAAUGACGUCUAUAAACAAUGCAAAAAGAAGUCGCUGGCAUUUGAAAUAGUGCUGGUUUACAUGCCCUUUGGUGACUGUCUUGACCUUGAGGUAUUCAUGGGCAAAAUUGAUAGUAUGUUGCGGGAUUGUAACGCAUGUUGGUGGUGUUUUCCGUUUAACAACUCUGUAAGCCACAGACUGGGUCGACUUGCCUUUGGCUGCAGGGAGGAUAGGCUCAUCAUUGUGGGACCCAAUGGUGAAUUUGUAGAUCCUUAUGGAAGAGAGGUGAUGAACAGUUAAGGAUGUGAUUAUUAUCCGUUCACUAGAGAGGCCCUUGUCCAAAGGAAAGUGAACAAUUUAAAGGCACUUAAGUUGGAGUCAUUAUUUGUUCACUGCAAUGAUACUUUUCUGCAUCUGGUGCAAGAACUACAAGGUAAGAAUAUACUUGUUUUUCUUGAUUCUCUUUCCCAGUUUGAGCUUUCUUUGGAACUAAAUCGAUGGUAUCAAAACAUGAAGAAACAGGAAUCUUCCUCUUCCUUUGAGGUGGUGUUUGUUCGGCUAUAUAGAAGGCAUGUUAAUAUAGUGGAUACUGAUUCAAGCUUAUCUGAAUCAAUGCCUUGGUUGGUAUGCCCAUUUGACCCUGAUCACUCAACUUUUGUUGAGAAGAAACUAUUUGGUGAGAGAGGAGUAUCUAAUGCCCUUGUCGGAUUUGAUCAAAAUGGCCGGAUUUGUACACUUGACGCUCGAGAACGUCUAGAGAGUAAGGGCUCAGCUGCUUUUCCAUUUGAUGAUAAUCUGCGCCAGGAUGUCAUUGAUCAACUCCGUUGUCACGCAUUCCAUGACUUCAUGAAUUAUUUUCAAUAGUAAUAUCAUCUCCUUAACUUUCGACUUUUCUUUAAUUAUAUAACUUGUAAUUAGGAAUUCAAUUGGUGCUUCACCAUGGUUGACUUUUACCACUAUAACCGUUACUUCUCUAACCGUUACUUUGACUCUUAAUAUCUCAAAUUGCGUGCAAGUAAAAAUUACAAAAAAUAUAUAUCGAUACGAAUCUAACAUGACCACAUAUGACUAAUAUUUAAUUACGUACGAAUCACAACAAAUGGACAAAGUCGUAGUGUGAAUAGUGCAGAAAAAAAAUAGUGCGAUAUUUCUAAAAUGGAGGAAGUAUACGAAGGUGUAUGUAUCAGAAGUUGUGGUUUUCAACCCAUACAAACAUUAAAAUAUACUAAGACCAAGACUGGGGUGGCAUCACCACAUUAAAUGGUUCUUGAUGUUGAUAAUUUUGAGGACUAACUUGUUGAAUCUCCAAAAUUUCUACCCUUCGAUUUGUUUUCUUUCUGAUCUUGAUUGCCACAUCUUGAGGGAUGAAAUUUCCAAAUACUAUCACACUACUCGUUUUGUUCUCGAUCAUGUGAGUUUCUAUUUCUUCACACAAAAAAAGUACAAAAAAGAAUUAGCAAAUUAAAGCCACAUAUUGGCUUUAAUUAAUGCAUAAUACAAAACCUACGUUACCUUUCUGUGGUCUAAUCGACAUGAUUAUUGUAUUUGUUUCGUUGUACAAGAAGCCACAAAAGGAAAAUGGUGCAGACUACUAUUGUGGGUUUAACUAAUUUUAAAUUCACGACUUUUCUAAAAUUUGGUGACUUUCAAAGUUGUAAAACCAAAAAUUGAAAACCGGUAAUGAUAUUGAACGGGGCAAAGAAGUAAUGCUUACCACGAAUAUGAAGAAGUGCUUGUUUAACCUUCCUGUAGCAACCAUUACAAUCAAUUUUGAUCCUCAAGAUCAUGCAAAAGUACUGCUAAAAACAGUUGAAAAUGACAUAAUUAUUAAGAAUGGUUUAUUCUAGACACAAAAAUAAUACAUGAUGGAGCAUGGAGAUUACCUUCUCUUUCAUGAAGCCAGAAAUUAGGAAGAUAUUGAUGAAUGAUGGAUGAAUGUGUGAACAAACUGUGUAUGUUAAAAGCUACUGUAAAAAGCAGAAGCAAGUAAACAUAUAACACUACAAGAAUCCGCGUUCUUAACAACCGUACCAAACCCAGUCAGGAAACCAACGAAAAAAUCAUGGAUACUUUGGUUCAUUUGUUCUGUACUAGUAAAAGUCAUGUAUACUUUUUUAUGUAAAAAUGAGGGAAUCUGGUUCUAUUUUGGGGUCUAGCUAGCUAGGUAAAUGACUAAAUGCCAUUAACUUUUAAAGAUACAUAUCUUAAAGGCAGGCAGAGAGAAUUAUUUGCUUUAAGCAGCAUUUUCCCAGCCUAGCUUGUUCCGGCCUCCACAGCCAAUCCAUGAUGAUUCUUUCUAUGUUCCAAAAUGGUAGACGGACAAGACUUUACCGACUACAGAGUAUAUGACUAAGCUAGUUGACAUCUACUAGACAAAACUGAAUUAUAUAUUAGUCGAUAUUACAAGUUUAUAACGGGUAAUAGUUCAGGAAGAAAAGUAUUCCUCCACUUUUAUACAAGUGUUGUGUUUGAACUUCGGCUGAAAUUUUGUUAUGAGUGAUCUGAUUACAAAAGAAAGCUGAUAAUAUAUACAGUAUGGAGUACAAAUCUGGCAGUAUAAAUUUAGUCUAAAAGUGAUUUAUCGUUAAUGCCGGACUACAGAAAAGCGAAAAACACUUGGAAAGAAACGAGUAGCCUCAGACGGUGUCAGACCUCUAACCAAACAUUUUGUUCUGAUCAAUUAGAUUUUUGCUUUCACGCUUUUUGUUUAACUAAUACUAAGUCUUACAAAUAAGAGCUUAUUAUAAAACCGUCUUUUAUAAGAAUUGCCCUAAGAAACGGGUGAAAAGUGUUGUUAAACACGAAGUAUGAAUGUAAGAAUGUCUUUUUUACAACUUUGUUAAUACAUAGAAGAAUGUUUUUAGAAAAUGAGGAAUCAGAUCAGAAUAAAUACAGUCUGCUAUUCUGGAAGGAAAAUAGAGGAAGUGUUUGUUAACUGGAAAAUACAGUCUGUAUGUUAAUUGUGAUAUUCCAUGGUCAAAAUAGAGAACUGAUAAUCAGUUUGUCAUGAAAGUCAGAGGUUUACAAUCACAGAUAGUUGUCAAGGUUUGUUAUUUUGAAAGGAAAAUAAGAGAUGCAUGUGGAUGUAACACACAACAGGCAUGUAGCUACUCACACUCACCAUAUGCAUUUUCUUCUCUACUCGACGACUCCUAUAUAUAUUUACCCAAGUCUUAGCACCAGUUGACAGACCUCCAUCUUAAUCAAAACCUAGAAAACACAAAAAAGUAACAGAAAAAUGGCCAUUUCAUCUGGAAAAAUCCUCACUCAUACCACCAUUGCUCCCUUGAUUUUCCUCGUAUCCUUCCUUACCUUAAGCCACUCACAAAUAACUCCAAGUACCCCUUCAGAAUCAGAACCCACCAUGGCAGAGUGUGGGACACGCCUCCUUGUAUUGGCACCUUGUGCCCCUUUUGUGCAGGGGCAGUCCCCAGAACCUACAGUGCAGUGCUGUAACAACCUGAUGCAAGUGUAUAACUUGGAGCGAGGUUGCCUUUGCCUCUUUCUCAACGGCACUGCCUUGGCCUCUCUCCCUAUCAACUCUACCCUCGCUCUUCAGUUGCCUGGCCUAUGCAGUCCACAAAUUGACCCCUCUACUUGCUCAACUUCAGGUGGAGCAGCACCUCCUACAUCAUCAGCACCUCCUACAUCAGCCGCAUCACCAGCAUCGCCAGUUUCAUACACAAGGAAUCCAACUGUUGGUGCAGGAGCUCCAACUGUUACUAUUUCACCAAGCACGGUCAAAUUUGGGUUGAAGAAUAGCUCAGCUUACAAGUUAGCCUCCUGUCAAUGGGGAGUUGCAAUAGCAAUGGUCUUUCUACUGUUACAAAAGUUACUCUGAUUAGGUUAAUCACACUGGAACUGGACGAUCGUUUUGAUUAUGGCUGUUGAGUAGUGAAGCAACUGAGAUGUAGUGAGUAGUAGUAGUUAUAUUUAGCUUGGAGAAUUUAGCAAGACAGUAUUUCUUUGUCCAUUUUAUUUAUGGUUUCAUUCUAGUUAAGAAGUCAGAACCAUUGUUAUCAAUCGAUUCAGAAACAAGAGUUUACAUUUUCAAAGAAA